GGCCAUAUCACGGUGAAACACCGGUUCUCCUACGAUCACCGAAGUUAAGCAACGUCAAGCCUGAUCAGUGCUUAGAUGGGUAACCGCUUGGGAAUGCCAGGUGCUGUAAG